CGAGUGCUGGGAUUAAAGGCUUGCGCCAUCACCCGACUGAUAUGUCUGGCUUUAAAAGGUCAUUCCCGUAGACAAAUUGCUCUGAAAUUUGUCUGGAACCCUUGGAGUUCUUUUUGACCUUGGGCCAUCUUGUACAUGAACAUCGUGUACAACCCCGGGGAAAAGCGAACAGAGCGGUCUCUGCUCUCUAAAUGAGUUAACGGGAAACAAGACCAGUGCAGUAGCAAUCACGCCGGGCGGGCCAGGAGGAUGCGCGCGCAUAGCUCACUGAGCACCAGUCUAGAGGCACAGCUUGGAGGCCCUGACUCUUCCUCCACAGGGAAGUCAGGACUGUCUGUGCUGGAGGAGGGCUGUUUGUCAUGAAGGGGGCCUCCAGGGGAAAGUUAGUCUCUCAGAUGGGAGAGGCCUGUUCCAUCUGACUCUUAGGAAGGUCUCCCGAACCUGAUGACAGCGGUUGGAAGUCACAUGGAAGAUCACCUUCUGUAGGAAGUAUGACAGUCGGCAACAGGCUCUGCGGUUCUCCUACCCAUUGCCAGGCUGUGGGCCUCCUGGUUGACAAUUGCCUAUCUUUGUUACGCCUUUCAUCUCGUAAUUUUAACAUUUAUUGGUGCAAUUA